UCGAGAAGCACAGCACGGGGCGUCUACACCAUGGCCUGGGCUUCGCUCCUGCUUGCGCUUGUGGCUCACUGCACAGGGGCCACUUCCCAGUCUGUGAUUCAGCAAUCCUCACUGAUCACGAACCCUGGGGGGACGGUCAUACUCACCUGCGGCGCCAGCACGGGGGCCGCCGUCAGCACCAGUAACUAUGCUAGCUGGAUCCAACAGAAGCCCUACCAGGUACCCAAGGGUAUAAUAGGUGGUACCACCAACCGGGUUCCAGGGGUUCCGGUCCGGUUCUCCGGCGCCCUGGCGGGAGGCAAGGCCACGCUCACCAUCACGGGGGCCCAGCCCGAGGACGAGGCGGAGUAUUACUGUGCUCUGUGGUUCAGCAACCAUUGGGUGUUCGGCGGAGGGACCCAGCUGACCGUCCUAGGUCAGCCCAAGUCUGCACCCUCGGUGUCUCUGUUCCCGCCAUCCGCUGAGGAGCUCGCCAACAACAAGGCCACACUGGUGUGUCUCAUGAGUGACUUCUACCCGGGCAGCGUGACGGUGGCCUGGAAGGCAAAUGGCACCCCCGUCACCCAGGGCGUGGAGACCACCAAGCCCUCCAAGCAGAGCAACAACAAGUACGCGGCCAGCAGCUACCUGAGCGUGUCCAGCCAAGACUGGAAGUCCGCCAGCGCCUACAGCUGCCAGGUCACGCACGACGGGAAGACCGUGGAGAAGACAGUGGCCCCCUCAGAGUGUUCCUAGGACCUGAGUCCCCACUUCUGGGGACACUUCUCCAUCAGACACUCCCUUUCCCCACUCCCCACAGUCCCCCUGCGGCUCCUGCCCUGGUCGCUCAGACUGGGCAGGUCGUGAUCCCUCCCUGUUUCCCCUUCUCCUGAAUAAACUCCUGUCAUUUCUCAUCUGA